rnacentral:rRNA from 1 species
UCUUCCCUCUGGCGGCGUGCCUAAUACAUGCAAGUCGAACGAACGGACGAGAAGCUUGCUUUUCUGAUGUUAGCGGCGGACGGGUGAGUAACACGUGGAUAACCUACCUAUAAGACUGGGAUAACUUCGGGAAACCGGAUCUAAUACCGGAUAAUAUUUUGAACCGCAUGGUUCAAAAGUGAAAGACGGUCUUGCUGUCACUUAUAGAUGGAUCCUCGCUGCAUUAGCUAGUUGGUAAGGUAACGGCCUACCAAGGCAACGAUGCAUAGCCGACCUGAGAGGCUGAUAGGCCACACUGGAACUGAGACACGGUCCAGACUCCUACGGGAGGCAGCAGUAGGGAAUCUUCCGCAAUGGGCGAAAGCCUGACGGAGCAACGCCGCGUGAGUGAUGAAGGUCUUCGGAUCGUAAAGCUCUGUUAUUAGGGAAGAACAUAUGUGUAAGUAACUGUGCACAUCUUGACGGUAACUAAUAAGAAAGCAACGGCUAACUACGUG